rnacentral:rRNA from 1 species
UACGAAGGGUGCAAGCGUUACUCGGAAUUACUGGGCGUAAAGCGUGCGUAGGUGGUUUUUUAAGUCCGUUGUGAAAGCCCUGGGCUCAACCUGGGAAUGGCAGUGGAUACUGGAAAGCUAGAGUGCGGUAGAGGGUAGUGGAAUUCCCGGUGUAGCAGUGAAAUGCGUAGAGAUCGGGAGGAACACCAGUGGCGAAGGCGGCUACCUGGACCAGCACUGACACUGAGACGCGAAAGCGUGGGGAGCGAACAGG